rnacentral:rRNA from 1 species
CUAGGUGGCAAGCGUUGUCCGGAAUUAUUGGGCGUAAAGCGCGCGCAGGCGGUUCUUUAAGUCUGAUGUGAAAGCCCACGGCUCAACCGUGGAGGGUCAUUGGAAACUGGAGAACUUGAGUACAGAAGAGGAAAGCGGAAUUCCACGUGUAGCGGUGAAAUGCGUAGAGAUGUGGAGGAACACCAGUGGCGAAGGCGGCUUUCUGGUCUGUAACUGACGCUGAGGCGCGAAAGCGUGGGGAGCAAACAGGAUUAGAUACCCUGGUAGUCCACGCCGUAAACGAUGAGUGCUAAGUGUUAGGGGGUUUCCGCCCCCCUUAGUGCUGCAGCUAACGCAUUAAGCACUCCGCCUGGGAGUACGGCCGCAAGGCUG